rnacentral:rRNA from 1 species
GACGAACGCUGGCGGCGUGCUUAACACAUGCAAGUCGAACGGAAAGGCCCUGCUUUUGUGGGGUGCUCGAGUGGCGAACGGGUGAGUAACACGUGAGUAACCUGCCCUUGACUUUGGGAUAACUUCAGGAAACUGGGGCUAAUACCGGAUAGGAGCUCCUGCUGCAUGGUGGGGGUUGGAAAGUUUCGGCGGUUGGGGAUGGACUCGCGGCUUAUCAGCUUGUUGGUGGGGUAGUGGCUUACCAAGGCUUUGACGGGUAGCCGGCCUGAGAGGGUGACCGGCCACAUGGGGACUGAGAACCGGCCCAGACGCCUACGGGGGGAAGCGGUGGGGAAUAUUGCAAAAUGGGCGGAAGCCUGAGGCAGCAACGCCGGGUGGGGGAGGACGGCCUUCGGGUUGGAACCGCUUUCGCCUGUGACGAAGCGUGAGUGACGGUAAUGGGUAAAGAAGCACCGGCUAACUACGUG